rnacentral:rRNA from 1 species
GUGCACACCCUGAUCGCAUCCACCUCCCACACCUGUGCACUGCCUGUAGCUUGGGAUGAUCACGGAGCCCUGAUGGGUGACGAAUGCCCUUGUCUACGAAUAUUUUCACACACGCUCAAAGUACGACAGAAUGUAUAUCAUAUUGCGUCUGAUAAACGUGACAAAUACAACUUUCAACAACGGAUCUCUUGGCUCUCGCAUCGAUGAAGAACGCAGCGAAAUGCGAUAAGUAAUGUGAAUUGCAGAAUUCAGUGAAUCAUCGAAUCUUUGAACGCACCUUGCGCUCCUUGGUAUUCCGAGGAGCAUGCCUGUUUGAGUGUCAUGAAAUUCUCAACUGCCCCAGGCUUUGUGGCUUGUGGGUGAAGUUGGACUUGGAGAUAUGCUGGCGCAUGAAUGGGCUUUAAGCCCUGUUGUGCUUGUCGGCUCCUCUUGAAUGCAUGAGCUUUCCAAUCCUUGGCAAAGUAUCGUCGAUGUGAUAAUUAUCUAUGUCGCCCGAGAAAGCCGAAAAGGGGAAAUCUUUGAUCACGCUGGGGUGACCCGCGUCUGACACAUUCGACCUCAAAUCAGGUAGGACUA